rnacentral:rRNA from 1 species
AUUGAACGCUGGCGGCAGGCCUAACACAUGCAAGUCGAACGGUAACAGGAAGAAGCUUGCUUCUUUGCUGACGAGUGGCGGACGGGUGAGUAAUGUCUGGGAAACUGCCUGAUGGAGGGGGAUAACUACUGGAAACGGUAGCUAAUACCGCAUAACGUCGCAAGACCAAAAAGGGGGACCUUCGGGCCUCUUGCCAUCGGAUGUGCCCAGAUGGGAUUAGCUAGUAGGUGGGGUAACGGCUCACCUAGGCGACGAUCCCUAGCUGGUCUGAGAGGAUGACCAGCCACACUGGAACUGAGACACGGUCCAGACUCCUACGGGAGGCAGCAGUGGGGAAUAUUGCACAAUGGGCGCAAGCCUGAUGCAGCCAUGCCGCGUGUAUGAAGAAGGCCUUCGGGUUGUAAAGUACUUUCAGCGGGGAAGAAGGGAGUAAAGUUAAUACCUUUGCUCAUUGACGUUACCCGCAGAAGAAGCACCGGCUAACUCCGU